rnacentral:rRNA from 1 species
GAUCAUUACCUAGAGUUUGUGGGCUUUGCCUGCUAUCUCUUACCCAUGUCUUUUGAGUACUUACGUUUCCUCGGCGGGUCCGCCCGCCGAUUGGACAAAAUUAAACCCUUUGCAGUUGCAAUCAGCGUCUGAAAAACAUAAUAGUUACAACUUUCAACAACGGAUCUCUUGGUUCUGGCAUCGAUGAAGAACGCAGCGAAAUGCGAUAAGUAGUGUGAAUUGCAGAAUUCAGUGAAUCAUCGAAUCUUUGAACGCACAUUGCGCCCCUUGGUAUUCCAUGGGGCAUGCCUGUUCGAGCGUCAUUUGUACCUUCAAGCUCUGCUUGGUGUUGGGUGUUUGUCUCGCCUUUGCGUGUAGACUCGCCUCAAAACAAUUGGCAGCCGGCGUAUUGAUUUCGGAGCGCAGUACAUCUCGCGCUUUGCACUCAUAACGACGACGUCCAAAAAGUACAUUUUUACACUCUUGACCUCGGAUCAGGUAGGGAUACCCGC